rnacentral:rRNA from 1 species
CAGAACGAACGCUGGCGGCGUGCUUAACACAUGCAAGUCGAACGCGAAAGGGACUUCGGUCCUGAGUAAAGUGGCGCACGGGUGAGUAACGCGUAGAUAACCUGUCUUCAUGUCUGGAAUAAUACGCCGAAAGGGGUACUAAUACCGGAUAUUCUUGCUUUUCAUAAGUUAUGCAAGCAAAGGUGGCCUCUGCAUAUGCUGCUGCAUGAAGAGGGGUCUGCGUACCAUUAGCUAGUAGGUGGGGUAAUGGCCUACCUAGGCGACGAUGGUUAGCGGGUCUGAGAGGAUGAUCCGCCACACUGGCACUGGAACACGGGCCAGACUCCUACGGGAGGCAGCAGUGAGGAAUAUUGCGCAAUGGGGGAAACCCUGACGCAGCGACGCCGCGUGAGUGAAGGAAGGCCUUCGGGUCGUAAAGCUCUGUCAAGAGGAAAGAAGUGUACAAUGGCUAAUACCUGUUGUAUUUGACGGUACCUCUAAAGGAAGCACCGGCUAACUCCGUGCCAGCCGCAGC